UUUCCAUCUAUCCUCCCACUAGAAUCAGUUUGGGUAAGAAGUGAAGAAAGAAACAUGUGAGCUCUUGGCCGGUGCAAGUAGCAGCCUUCAACAUGUGGAUGGGGUUCACACCAGCUGGACAAGCAGAAGCCCAGUGGCGCUCUAGACCCAGCUCUGCCAGCAACCUGUCAGGUGACAAUGGCCAAUUACGUCGCCUCUCAGCCUAUUUCCUCACUUGUGAUAUCAAGGAGGCAUGUCUCAGGCUGUACAUUUCUGAUGUUUAAACCCAAGGGCAGAUCUUGGCCAAAAGAGAAAGGCAAGAACUAAAAGUAUUUGGGUGAACAAGAGGAAUUCACUUGUUCAAGGAAGAGACAAAGAGGAACUACAGGCAUUUCUGUGCCCAAAGAUGUCUCACUGGGUGUCACUGGAGGGACUUGGCAGGAGCAGCUGACAUUAUACUUGGCACUUCCCAAAAGCCAUGUUGCCUGGGGAAUAAAUCCCAUUUUUAAAGAAACUGCCUUUCCUUCUGGGAAUUAACUUGCUUCUACUUGACUAGAUUUUAAAAAAAAAAAAAGACUCAUAAAGAAGUUCAUAGAGAACUAAAAUUUCACUUUGUCCUGCAUUAUGGACACUUUCUGGGCAGAGAACUACUGCCAGUAAGGGCAUGGCACACUUGGGAGAAUGGGCUUAUACAAAACUUAGUGUGGGGGCUGGGACCCUUAUUUUUUCCUGAAGAACACAGAUCCAUGGGAGAAAAUUGAUAUGGGAGCCACACAGUGCAGAUAAAUAAAUAAAUAAAUAAAUAGCCCCACUAAAAUGACUAUUUAAGAUCUGAGUGGGAAUAUUUGAAGUGAGAGAAAAUGUUACAUAUAUCUACUUUUCAAGUUAGAAGCAGGAAACAGAAACCUCUAUUUAGUAUGGAAAACAAUUAAAAAUAGACUCCAGUUCCAUUUUCAUCCAAGUUAGAGGAAGGGGGUGGGAAAGGGAGGAAACUAUGAAGUAGGCGAAGAAGGAGUCAAGAAAAGGAAGCUUUGGAUAUGAGCUUUGAGCUCUGAACAGAACAAGUAAACCUCUACUGUUCUUUGAAAUUCAUACUAAAAAGGCUUUUCUGCACUGGGAGACAGCCUGAAAACUUUCCAUUUCAUGCUGCAAAGAACUUUUGUAAAAGGGAAAGCUUACUCCUCUCUAUGGAAUUCCCAAAAAAGGAAAACUUGGGAUUUAGAAUCAUCCUCUGGAAUUUCAAAGCAGAAGGGUCAAUAUGUAUCAUUACUAUCUCAAAGCUCUUUGAGUUUUGCCAAUCCCAAGCCCCUUCAGAGACACAGCAGAACCAACCAAAGCAGCCAGAGAAACUAUAGAAACUGAACCUGAAAACCCUCCGCAGUGCUGCCUGGGCCACAUGGAGUAAGGGGGUUGCAACUGACUGAAGAAAACCAGGAGCACCUGAGGUGUGGAGAAGGCACCUGCACUAGCCUGGCUUACAUAUGCAAAUACGUGACAUCACCUCUGUCAGCCUGCUGGGAUGGAUCUUACAGGUCAUGUGGGUAAAAUGAGGCAGAGAAGCCCAGAAUAAGGUUUGUGAAAAUCUCUGUGCAGUGAUAGAAGUCUUGCCCCAGAUACCACGGGACAGCCAUGCUGACUGCAGUGAGUUAGUAGGGGUGCACUUUGAGGCUCCCCUUACCUCGAUU